rfam:Arabis alpina cultivar Pajares scaff_60962_1_contig_3, whole genome shotgun sequence.
GUGGACGUGCCAGAGUUGUUAAUGGGAUUGACUAGAAAUCGAUUGGGGUGUCCCCGCGCACGUUCGACUCCUGUCGUCCACG